GUGAAAUUGUUGAAAGGGAAGCGCUUGCAACCAGACCUGCCUGCAGUUGCUCAUCCGGGCUUUUGCCCGGCGCACUCUUCUGCUGUCAGGCCAGCAUCGGUUCGGGCGGUCGGAUAAAGGCUUCGGGAAUGUAGCUCCUCUCGAGGAGUGUUAUAGCCCGUUGCGAAAUGCGGCCAGCCUGGACUGAGGUCCGCGCUUCGGCUAGGAUGCUGGCGUAAUGGUUGUAAGCGGCCCGUCUUGAAACACGGACCAAGGAGUCUAACAUCUGUGCGAGUGUUUGGGUGUCAAACCCGUACGCGUAAUGAAAGUGAACGGAGGCGGGAACCCCUCGGGGUGCACCGUCGACCGAUCCUGAUGUCUUCGGAUGGAUUUGAGUAAGAGCAUAGCUGUUGGGACCCGAAAGAUGGUGAACUAUGCCUGAAUAGGGUGAAGCCAGAGGAAACUCUGGUGGAGGCUCGCAGCGGUUCUGACGUGCAAAUCGAUCGUCAAAUUUGGGCAUAGGGGCGAAAGACUAAUCGAACUAUCUAGUAGCUGGUUCCUGCCGAAGUUUCCCUCAGGAUAGCAGUAACGUUUUCAGUUUUAUGAGGUAAAGCGAAUGAUUAGAGGCCUGGGGGUUGAAACAACCUUCACCU
rnacentral:rRNA from 1 species